GAUGAAGAACGUAGCGAAAUGCGAUACGUAAUGUGAAUUGCAGAAUUCAGUGAAUCAUCGAGUCUUUGAACGCACAUUGCGCCCCCUGGUAUUCCGGGGGGCAUGCCUGUCCGAGCGUCAUUGCUGCCCUCAAGCACGGCUUGAGUGUUGGGCCUCCGUCCUCCUCCCGGGGGACGGGCCCGAAAGGCAGCGGCGGCACCGCGUCCGGUCCUCGAGCGUAUGGGGCUUCGUCACCCGCUCUUGUAGGCCCGGCCGGCGCUUGCCGACACAUCAAUCUUUUUUCCAGGUUGACCUCGGAUCAGGUAGGGAUACCCGCUGAACUUAAGCAUAUCAAUAAGCGGAGGA
rnacentral:misc_RNA from 1 species